rnacentral:rRNA from 1 species
CCCUUAGAUGUCCUGGGCUGCACGCGCGCUACACUGAUGUGUCCAGUAAGCACCUAACCUCUUCCGAAAGGAACGGGGAACCUUUGCAAAGCACAUCGUGAUGGGGAUAGAUUAUUGCAAUUAUUAGUCUUGAACGAGGAAUUCCUAGUAAGCACAAGUCAUCAGCUUGUGUUGAUUACGUCCCUGCCCUUUGUACACACCGCCCGUCGCUCCUACCGAUUGAAUGUUCCGGUGAGCUCUUCGGACUGCGCGGUCUGCAGUUUCUGCGUUCCGUGCGGAAAGUUGCGCAAACCUUAACAUUUAGAGGAAGGAGAAGUCGUAACA